CUGGCAGUAAACGGUGCACGCUUGGUGUGCGGGGAAUCGACCCCCUGCGUGCCGGAGCUAACGCGUUAAGCGUGCCGCCUGGGGAGUACGGUCGCAAGAUUAAAACUCAAAGAAAUUGAC
rnacentral:rRNA from 1 species